CUGCUGUCUUCAACUCCUUUCUCAUCAGCGAGGUGAUCAAUGCGUUCACGAUCCCCAGGCUAGGCUACCAUAGCCUGUUCUACCUGGGGAUGGAGGUGAAAGCCAUUUGGAAGCUCCAGCUGAACCAUUAUGCAACAGCCCACCCACGAGGCAAUAAGGACAAACAGGGGCAUGCCCCACUUUCUACACUGCCUCCCCAUCGGAUAACACACAGGUCAAGGUCCUGGUGCUCAAGAGCCAUGUGUCUCUCCAAGAUCUGCCUCUGUAGCCAUGAUCAACAGGGACAGUAAUGUUCUGGGAGCUAGUGGCACGCCCUGGACUGUGGAACUCCUUGCCACUGGAGAUCAAGAUGAGCCCAAGGUGCUUUAUCCAUAGAUGGUGAGAUAGCUUCACUCAAGCCUCUCUUCAAUAACCGUUGUCUGACACCCUGAUGCCAGCAACAGCCAGCUUGGUGACAACUCCACAAUGACACCCUCUCUGCGCUCCAGCUUCGCUCCAGCACGGCAUCUGCAGGACCUGCUACAGAGCCCAGUUCAUUCGGGCCAGGUCCAUGUUUACGGUGAGUAAAAUCUCCACUCUGGUGUCAGUCUGGCAAAACAGCUACAUUCAGCCUCUUCAUAGGCCUCCUCCCCCCAUGCAGCUGUCUGCGGUUCGGGGAGCUGGUCGCCGCCCCGGUCAGAGAGGAAAGGGUUAAGUACAGCCCGCACCAGCAGAAAUCAAAGGAUUACAGGAGCCGGAGCGGUGUGAAUAGCGAGGCCCGGUGGCGGGCUGACUGGACUCCCUGGAGCGGUAAUUCUGAGGAUGACAAACACAAGCCAAAGAAAAAUGUUGAAAAAUAGGCACUUCCCGCAGCCCUGAGCAAAGGAGCUAUUGCAGGGUUUGGAAAUAACCAAGGCGAAAAGAGGGAGAGGGAGGGGUAUUUUCUCAUUGAGAACAAGUGAAGUGCCAAACAAGCAGCUAUUAAGGUGGCUUGAAGAGGCACAGGGGAGGGGUGUACAGGAGCAGAGAGAGGGCAGAAGUGGUGGAAAGGAGACGGGAUGGGGAAAGGGGAUGAAGGAAAGUAGGUGAGUGGAAGAUGGUUAAGGAAGAGAGUGUGAACGGAAAGGGGAGAGUGUGUGAGCGUGGGCAUGGCACAAGACAGAGAAAAUGGAAGGCGAGAAAGAGCAGAGAGCAAGAA